rnacentral:rRNA from 1 species
GACGAACGCUGGCGGCGUGCUUAACACAUGCAAGUCGAACGGAAAGGCCCCUUUGGGGGUACUCGAGUGGCGAACGGGUGAGUAACACGUGAGUAACCUGCCCUUGACUUCGGGAUAACUUCAGGAAACUGGGGCUAAUACCGGAUAGGAAUCCUUGCUGCAUGGUGGGGGUUGGAAAGCUUCGGCGGUUUUGGAUGGACUCGCGGCUUAUCAGCUUGUUGGUGGGGUAGUGGCUUACCAAGGCUUUGACGGGUAGCCGGCCUGAGAGGGCGACCGGCCACAUUGGGACUGAGAUACGGCCCAGACUCCUACGGGAGGCAGCAGUGGGGAAUAUUGCACAAUGGGCGGAAGCCUGAUGCAGCAACGCCGCGUGCGGGAUGACGGCCUUCGGGUUGUAAACCGCUUUCAGCAGGGGCGAAGCUUGUGGAGACGGUACCUGCAGAAGAAGCACCGGCUAACUACGUG